rnacentral:rRNA from 1 species
UAAAAACCCCGACUUCGGAAGGGGUGUAUUUAUUAGAUACAAAACCAAUGCCCUUCGGGGCUCUUUGGUGAUUCAUGAUAACUAUACGAAUCGCACGGCCUUGCGCCGGCGAUGGUUCAUUCAAAUUUCUUCCCUAUCAACUUUCGAUGUUUGGGUAUUGGCCAAACAUGGUUGCAACGGGUAACGGAGGGUUAGGGCUCGACCCCGGAGAAGGAGCCUGAGAAACGGCUACUACAUCCAAGGAAGGCAGCAGGCGCGCAAAUUACCCAAUCCCGACUCGGGGAGGUAGUGACAAUAAAUACUGAUACAGGGCCCUUUCGGGCCUUGUAAUUGGAAUGAGUACAAUUUAAAUCCCUUAACGAGGAACAAUUGGAGGGCAAGUCUGGUGCCAGCAGCCGCGGUAAUUCCAGCUCCAAUAGCGUAUAUUAAAGUUGUUGUGGUUAAAAAGCUCGUAGUUGAACCUUGGGCCUGGCUGGCCGGUCCGCCUCACCGCGUGCACUGGUCCGGCCGGGCCUUUCCCUCUGUGGAACCCCAUACCCUUCACUGGGGCGUGGCGGGGAAACAGGACAUUUACUU